rnacentral:tRNA from 1 species
GCGGGAAUAGCUCAGUGGUAGAGCACAACCUUGCCAAGGUUGGGGUCGCGGGUUCGAACCCCGUUUCCCGCU